rnacentral:misc_RNA from 1 species
AAAUCUCUCAUCAAAUUAAUUUUUGGUGGAUGUUGAGUGCUGCUGUUAUCUAGCUCACUUUAAAUAUAUAAGUCAUUUUAUGAAUCUUGGAUUGACUUGGUGUAAUAUUUUUUUGAUCAUCAAGGAAAGUAGCAAUACUUGCCAAUAUUUAUUUUCAAGGACUACUAAACCCUUCAACUUAUUAAG